rnacentral:tRNA from 1 species
UCCCUCUUAGCUCAAUUGGUAAAGAACCUGCCUGCAAUGCAGGAGAUGCAGGUUCAAUUCCUGGGUCAGGAA